AGAGUUUGAUCAUGGCUCAGAACGAACGCUGGCGGCGUGGAUUAGGCAUGCAAGUCGAACGCGAAAGUGGGGGCAACUCCACGAGUAGAGUGGCGAACGGGUGAGUAACGCGUGAGAAACCUGCCUUCAUCAGGGGGAUAACACUCCCAACGGGGGUGCUAAUACCGCAUGAGACCACGGGAUCGCAUCCUGAGGUCAAAGGUGGCCUCUAUUUAUAAGCUACCGGAUGAAGAUGGUCUCGCGUCCCAUUAGCUAGUUGGCGGGGUAAUGGCCCACCAAGGCGACGAUGGGUAGCUGGUCUGAGAGGAUGGUCAGCCACACUGGGACUGAGAUACGGCCCAGACUCCUACGGGAGGCAGCAGUCGAGAGGCUUCGGCAAUGGGGGAAACCCUGACCGAGCGACGCCGCGUGGGGGAUGAAGGCCCUUGGGUUGUAAACCCCUUUUAUUCGGGAAGAAAUGUGAUCAGGUGAAUAAUCUGGUCAUUUGACGGUACCGGAUGAAUAAGCUCCGGCUAACUCCGUGCCAGCAGCCGCGGUAACACGGGGGGAGCAAGCGUUGUUCGGAAUCACUGGGCGUAAAGGGCGUGUAGGCGGUCAGGUAAGUGAGAUGUGAAAUGCCCCGGCUCACCCGGGGACCGGCAUCUCAUACUGCUUGGCUUGAGUACGGGAGAGGAUGUGGGAAUUCCUGGUGUAGCGGUGAAAUGCGUAGAUAUCAGGAGGAACACCGGUGGCGAAGGCGCACAUCUGGCCCGAUACUGACGCUGAGGCGCGAAAGCUAGGGGAGCAAACGGGAUUAGAUACCCUAGUAGUCC
rnacentral:rRNA from 1 species